AGCUGUACAUUUAAUAUUUAAACCUAAAAUUUGUGUGCUUAAACAAGUGGAGCUUUUGUGCGCAAACAAGUCGUAAAAAAGGUUAAUGUGCGCUGACGAGUCGUACCCGAAUUUUCAAUCAAUCUUUUCCCGAUACCCUCUUGAGAGAAAAGGGCUCUGUCAUUUUUACGGACGAAUGUAACGUUUUAGACCGAAAAGCCAGACAAAACUGUAGUAGUUGUAUUUGACAGAUAUACAUUUUAUAAACGUAUUACGGAUUCUUUAGGUUCUUUACUAAGAUGCGUUGGAAUUAUUUAUUUAACUUUAAUCCUAUUUACCACAAGUAAAAGACGAAAUACUUUAAGUACAUUUUUGAAAAUGUUUCUACUUAGCGGGCCUGCAAUUUAAUUCUCGAAAUCUUUUACUAACCAUCAAGGCACGUCUUUUCAUCAUCUCGUCUUAAGUGUCUUCUUUUACUCAUCGUUUGAUGAAUUACAACACCGUUUACACGUAUCGAUAAUCGA